rnacentral:rRNA from 1 species
UAACGCGUAGGUAACCUGCCUGGUAGCGGGGGAUAACUAUUGGAAACGAUAGCUAAUACCGCAUAACAGUAGAUAUCGCAUGAUAUGUGCUUGAAAGGUGCAAUUGCACCACUACCAGAUGGACCUGCGUUGUAUUAGCUAGUUGGUGAGGUAACGGCUCACCAAGGCAACGAUACAUAGCCGACCUGAGAGGGUGAUCGGCCACACUGGGACUGAGACACGGCCCAGACUCCUACGGGAGGCAGCAGUAGGGAAUCUUCGGCAAUGGACGGAAGUCUGACCGAGCAACGCCGCGUGAGUGAAGAAGGUUUUCGGAUCGUAAAGCUCUGUUGUAAGAGAAGAACGAGUGUGAGAGUGGAAAGUUCACACUGUGACGGUAUCUUACCAGAAGGGGACGGCUAACUACGUGCCAGCAGCCGCGGUAAUACGUAGGUCCCGAGCGUUGUCCGGAUUUAUUGGGCGUAAAGCGAGCGCAGGCGGUUAGAUAAGUCUGAAGUUAAAGGCUGUGGCUUAACCAUAGUACGCUUUGGAAACUGUUUAACUUGAGUGCAAGAGGGGAGAGUGGAAUUCCAUGUGUAGCGGUGAAAUGCGUAGAUAUAUGGAGGAACACCGGUGGCGAAAGCGGCUCUCUGGCUUGUAACUGACGCUGAGGCUCGAAAGCGU